rnacentral:lncRNA from 10 species
ACAAGUAUGGAAAGCAUUACAACAGAGAAAAAACAUAGAAGGGGAUAAAUAUGAGUUCUGAGUGCAAGAACACAAUAGUCAGUGAAUUCCCAAGUGGAAAUUACAUUGAGUAAUAUGUCUGCAAGAGACAACCAGGGGGAAUGCCAUGCACAUAGGAUAAGGACUGGUCUCCGGUUGGUACAGAGCUGCAGUGGACAUUUGCUUGACUGGGAAUCUUAACAGAACAAGGACAAAGGGAAGCAAGGAGCAGAAGAGGAGGUCUGUGGAGUCACUAGGAUGGAGGCGAGUACCUGUGGUAUCACUUGGUGCAAGCUGGACCUCAGUGGCAGAAAAGCAGCAGGGAGGAGGAAGAACUCAGCCAACAGAGAAAAGCAGAGCUGAAAAUGGAGCCAGUGUGGGGAAGGAGAGGAAAGCAAAAA